AUUGAACGCUGGCGGCAUGCCUUACACAUGCAAGUCGAACGGCAGCACGGACUUCGGUCUGGUGGCGAGUGGCGAACGGGUGAGUAAAGCAUCGGAACGUACCCGGGAGUGGGGGAUAACUAUCCGAAAGGAUAGCUAAUACCGCAUAUUCUGUGAGCAGGAAAGCAGGGGAUCUUUGGACCUUGUGCUUCCGGAGCGGCCGAUGUCAGAUUAGCUAGUUGGUGGGGUAAAGGCCUACCAAGGCGACGAUCUGUAGCGGGUCUGAGAGGAUGAUUCGCCACACUGGGACUGAGACACGGCCCAGACUCCUACGGGAGGCAGCAGUGGGGAAUUUUGGACAAUGGGCGCAAGCCUGAUCCAGCCAUGCCGCGUGAGUGAAGAAGGCCUUCGGGUUGUAAAGCUCUUUCGGCCGGGAAGAAAUCGGUGAGGCUAAUAUCCUCACUGGAUGACGGUACCGGAAUAAGAAGCACCGGCUAACUACGUGCCAGCCGCCGCCGUAA
rnacentral:rRNA from 1 species